rnacentral:rRNA from 1 species
GUACCGUGAGGGAAAGGUGAAAAGUACCCCGAUAAGGGGAGUGAAAUAGAACCUGAAACCGAAUGCUUACAAGCAGUUGGAGGGCCCAUGUGGCCUGACAGCGUACCUUUUGUAUAAUGGGUCAUCGACUUGGUCUAUCUAGCAAGCUUAAGCCGUUAGGUGUAGGCGUAGCGAAAGCGAGUCUUAAUAGGGCGCCUAGUUUGUUGCAUUAGACCCGAAACCGAGUGAUCUAGCCAUGAGCAGGUUGAAGGUUGGGUAACACCAACUGGAGGACCGAACCCACAUCCGUUGAAAAGGAUCGGGAUGAGCUGUGCCUAGGGGUGAAAGGCCAAUCAAACUCGGAGAUAGCUGGUUCUCUGCGAAAUCUAUUUAGGUAGAGCGUCAUCCGAAUACCCCCGGGGGUAGAGCACUGGAUGGGUAAUGGGGCCCCACAGGCUUACUGAUCCUAACCAAACUCCGAAUACCGGGGAGUACUAGAUGGCAGACACACAGCGGAUGCUAACGUCCGUUGUGGAGAGGGAAACAACCCUGACCUACAGCUAAGGCCCCCAAUUCAUGGCUAAGUGGGAAAGCAGGUGGGACGACCAAAACAACCAGGAGGUUGGCUUAGAAGCAGCCAUCCUUUAAAGAUAGCGUAACAGCUCACUGGUCUAAACAAGCUGUCUUGCGGCGAAGAUGUACCGGGGCUAAAGACAAGUACCGAAGCUGUGGAUUUGCAUGCUUGCAUGCAAGUGGUAGCGGAGCGUUCUGUAAGUCUGCGAAGGUAUGGCGUGAGCCAUGCUGGAGAUAUCAGAAGUGAGAAUGCUGACAUGAGUAGCGAUAAACAGUGUGAGAGACACUGUCGCCGAAAUCCCAAGGGUUCCUGCGCAAGGCUAAUCCGCGCAGGGUGAGUCGGCUCCUAAGGCGAGGCCGAAAGGCGUAGUCGAUGGGAACCAGGUUAAUAUUCCUGGGCCAGGAGGAUGUGACGGAUCUCG